UUUUGCUAUCAUUUAUUUUCAUCCUUGAGACAUUCUUACUAUUUCUUGUGACACGUAUUUGCUGAACGAUUCUCUAGGUUGGCUAAGUAUCUGCUUUUCUCUUCCAUUCUGAAGGAUCUCCUGCAGAAGAAACAGCUCUUUCAGCAGCCUGCAUGCACCACUCCACUGUAUUCUGGCUUCCAGCACUUCUGAUGAGAACUCAGUGUUGUUUUUAUUACUUCCCCCUACUUAGUUUUAUUUCUGCAGGGACUUUAAGAUUGACUCUGCCACUGACUUUCGGUGUUUGGACAACAAAGCAUCUGGGUGUGAUUCUUCUCAUUUACUCUGCCUGGAGUUGACUGAGCUUCUUGAAUCUUUGUGUUGAUUCUUCCCUUCACUCCUGGCCAUAGGUCUUCAAAUUGUUCUCUUGCCCCAUUUUCUCUCACCGCUCCUUCUGGGGCUCCGAUCACUACAGGUAUGUUAGACCCACGGGCCUCAGACACUCUGUUCCACUGUAUUUUCAUGCCUUUUCUCCUUGUUUUAUGCUUAGGUCAUUUCUAUUGGUCAGACUUCAAGUUCAUUCAAUGAGUCUUUCCUCUGCUGUAUCUAGUCUCCUAUUAAACCAUGGGAAUUUUAUUUCUAAUACUAGUUUUCAUUUCCAGCAUUUCCAUUUUGUUUUUUCUCAUAGUUUUUAUCUUUCUGCAAUACCCCCCACCUCUUCAUAGAUGUUGUACACCUUUUCAACGAAUUUCUGGCCUCACCUAUCACAGCUAUUUCGAAGUCUCUGAUAAUUGCAGCAUGUCUCUUCUACUGACUCUUUCUAGGGCCAUCUCCUCUCAUGAACAUGAGUCCAUUUCUCUUGCUUCUUUGCAGGUCUUUUAAAUUUUGAUUAUAUAACACAAUGUUUUAUGAAAAACGAAGAUUGUAUUUAAAAGAACAGUAAAGAUUAAAUAACAUUUACCCCCAGAAAAGAAUUUACAAGCCUAUGGGCAGGAUCCGGAUGCUGGGCCUGAACACUGACACUGGAUGUCUUCUAUGCUUCACGGCGAGAGAUCUGCUUUCCAAACAGUAGGAGACCUUCCACCCACUUUAGGAAGAAAUGUAAUUCAUCUACAUUUGAGUCUUCAGCUCUCUGAUGGAUCUUAGAAACGAUGAGUCUGUGUAUUAACCAGAUUGUUCCGACGGUUAUGGUUGGAACAAGAGUCUCUUGUGACUUCUACAUCUCAAUAAAAAAUGGAAUUCCA
rnacentral:lncRNA from 10 species